rnacentral:rRNA from 1 species
GACGAACGCUGGCGGCGUGCUUAACACAUGCAAGUCGAACGCUGAAGCUCAGCUUUUGUUGGGUGGAUGAGUGGCGAACGGGUGAGUAACACGCGAGUAACCUGCCUCCUUCUUUGGGAUAACGCCCGGAAACGGGUGCUAAUACUGGAUAUUCACUGGUCUUCGCAUGGGGGUUGGUGGAAAGGGUUUUUCUGGUGUGGGAUGGGCUCGCGGCCUAUCAGCUUGUUGGUGGGGUGAUGGCCUACCAAGGCUUUGACGGGUAGCCGGCCUGAGAGGGUGACCGGUCACAUUGGGACGGAGAUGCGGCCCAGACUCCGACGGGAGGCGGCAGUGGGGAAUAUUGCAGAAUGGGCGCAAGCCUGAUGCAGCGACGCCGCGUGAGGGAUGGAGGCCGUCGGGUUGUGAACCUCUUCCGCACAUGGUCAAGCCGCAACAAUGGUUGUGGUGAGGGUAGUGGGUAAAGAAGCGCCGGCUAACUACGUG